rnacentral:rRNA from 1 species
UCAGGAUGAACGCUAGCGACAGGCUUAACACAUGCAAGUCGAGGGGCAGCAUGGGAGUGGCGACACUCCCGAUGGCGACCGGCGCACUGGUGAGUAACACGUAUGCGACCUGCCUCCUCAGGGGGAUAACCCAGAGAAAUUUGGCCUAAUACCCCAUAUGCCGCGACGCUGCAUGGCGUCGCGUUGAAAGGUGAGCCGGAAGGAGAUGGGCAUGCGGCGCAUUAGCUAGUUGGCGGGGCAACGGCCCACCAAGGCUACGAUGCGUAGGGUUCUGAGAGGAAGGUCCCCCCACACUGGUACUGAGACACGGACCAGACUCCUACGGGAGGCAGCAGUGAGGAAUAUUGGUCAAUGGGCGGGAGCCUGAACCAGCCAAGUCGCGUGAGGGAAGACGGUCCUGUGGAUUGUAAACCUCUUUAGCCGGGGAGUAACGUGCGCCACGCGUGGUGCAGUGAGAGUACCCGGAGAAUAAGCAUCGGCUAACUCCGUGCCAGCAGCGGC